UUGUUCUAUCCUGUACUUCAGUGAGAGGAAGGGAGUAGCAUCCAGUGGCUUUCCUUCUUCUCUCCCAUUGUUUGUUAUUUUCUAGUUGUUGGAAGACCAUAGUGAACAUUACAAUUGAUUCCUCAAUAUUUAUUCCACCCAAGAUGGGUAAUCCAAGCCAACUAGAGACUGGUUCAGGGAUGGUGAGUGACCCAAUUCUAUUUAAUGGGAUAUAAAAGGAUAUCCUUCAGAGAGCUUCCAGAAAAAGUGUCUGCCAAUUUGCUGUUUGUUUUUCUCAACUCUUGUCCAUGUUGAAUCCUGGAAGUUAUUGAAACAAUCCUUGAUCAUUGCUUUUAGUCUCUAGUUGUUGUUAGGCAAAAGGAUUUGUGGCUCCUCAUC
rnacentral:lncRNA from 1 species